rnacentral:piRNA from 1 species
UGAAGGUCCCUGUAUUGGCAAGCUAGCCUAU